UACGAAGGAUUCGAGCGUUAUCCGGAUUUAUUGGGUUUAAAGGGUGCGUAGGCGGACUUGUAAGUCAGUGGUGAAAGCCCGCAGCUUAACUGCGGAAUUGCCGUUGAUACUGCAAGUCUUGAGUACACUUGAGGUGGGCGGAAUGUAUCAUGUAGCGGUGAAAUGCUUAGAUAUGAUACAGAACACCGAUUGCGAAGGCAGCUCACUAAAUUGUAACUGACGCUGAGGCACGAAAGCGUGGGUAUCAAACAGG
rnacentral:rRNA from 1 species